rnacentral:lncRNA from 1 species
CUGUCUGAUUACCUGGGAGCGUCCAUCACCCUUUUUUUACUGACUUGUCAAAAUCAGCAGUGACGUUCUUGUAUAGAGCCUGGGAAGGGGCGAGAUAGUGCAAAGGAAUGGGAGGAAGAGCUACAGCACCUAGGUUUUGUUUUGUGCUUCACGAACCUGAGAGUUUUCUUCUUUUAUGGUAUGUUUUACGUGUUCCUUGUCUCGCUGACUAAGCCCUUCCAGUGAGGAUAUGGAAUUUCCUUCCUGCACAGAAAAAAACUUCCUGUCUCUUGGCAUCUUUUGGAGCAAACAUGCAGGCCCAUUUCUCAAUUGCUCAGCGCAGCUCUUACAGGACCACUUCCUUACUCAGAUAAUGGCCUCAGCCUGCUGGCUAAAUCAUAGCAAGAAGUUUAUGAAUUAUGUUGAGGAUAGAAAUGAGCUUUUGCUAUAAGGAUAGACUUCUGUGUGAUACUUUCUUCAGUGGAUGAGUGGGAUUAUCCUCUACUCCGCUCUCCAGUCACUGAGGAGUCAGCCGUGUGCAGCUAAGCCAUUGGUUAUAUUCCCUUGUUUCUUCACAGCUUCUUUUAGGACCUGUGUUCCACUGGACUGCCCCCGAGGAGAAAUAUACACCUUGGCACAUCAGUUCCAGAAGCUGUAAAAGUGUAAUGAAGUGAA